CCUCUGGUCUCUACAGGAUUAAAUAGGAAGAGGCUCCACCUGCUGGAACAACCUGGAACUACAGCUGAUCUGUGUUUUUUUUCUCACAUUCAUGACCUUCUUAUCAUAAAUUAUUAACGCUGAUCUGAUCUAUAAAACAUCCUGCAGACCUGCUGCUCCACACUCACCAACCAAACUCCCUGUAAUGACUCCGCCCAGAUGAUGACUCCUCCCCCUGUAAUGACUCCACCUCCACAAUGACUCCUCCCCCUAUAGUGACUCUACCCAGAUGAUGACUCCGCCCCCUGAUGGCCACUUCUUCCCAUUGCCGCUAGUUGCUCCUCCUUCAUGAACGUCUAUCAACACAUUGAGCCAGCAGAAUAAAAGCAGCUUGAAAGGAAAGAAGAAAGAGAAGAGGAAAAGGGAAGAACGAUGAAAUAAUGGAAGAGGAAAAGGGAAGAACGGUGAAAUAAUGAAAGAGGAAAAGGGAAGAACGGUGAAAUAAUGACGAGAGCAGAAACAUGAGAGACUGAAGACUAAACCUCAGAAAGGAAAGGAACGAUGGGAGCAGGACAUGAACUUCAACACUUGAUCAGCAGUUCUGAAUGAAAAUCCAAAGACAGCCUCGGAUGACAUCACCACAUGAUGACGACAGUGAUUGGGCGAGCCAUGUGCAGCAUUGUGCUGUGAUGUCACUGAUGUCAGACCUCCAUGCUGUUGGUUUUGGGUGUCCUGGAGAUCCACAGGUUUGAUUGGUCGGCAGCGGUCUUGGUUUCGGGGUCACUAUGACGACAGAUGACAGUCAGACUGAUGUCCAAUCACCGUUACUCUGACCCUAACCCAGCAGCAGGGGGCGCUAAUGCUGCAGUUGCUAUCAUUAAACCACCAUUUAGGAUGGAGCUUCAGCUGGUAAUCCAGAAGAUCUGACAAACUCUCCUGCAAAACCUUCAACUGCCCAAUAGAAUAAAAGCUACCAUUUCCACAAAUGGAUGGAAGCUUUAGAACCUCCUAACGGAACUUCAGAACCUCUCAGGUGUUCUAAAGACACUUCAGAGAACUCUAACAGCAGCUAAUCGUGAACUUUAACUUUGGGAACAUUCUGGGAUUUGUAGUUCUUUGGUUCUGCUCACCUUCUGCUGAUCCUCUGAAAACAAGAAGUCCCAGAAGCCACCAGGAUGAGCAGCAGCAGCGGGAUGGUCGGGAUGACGAUGUAGAGCAGCAACAUGCCUGAGAAGAUGGAUGGAGAACAGGAGAACGUUCUAAUGAAAACAUUAGACUGGAGAAUGUUCUAACAAGAACAUUAGACUGGAGAACAAGAACAUUAGACUGGAGAACAAGAGCAUUAGACUGGAGAACAGGAGAACGUUCUAACAAGAACAUUAGACUGGACAGAAGGAGAACAAGAACAUUGGACUGGAGAAUGUUCAAAUGAGAACACUAGACUGGAGAACAGGAGAACGUUCUAAUGAGAACAUUAGACUGGAGAAUAGGAGAACGUUCUACCAAGAACAUUGGACUGGAGAACAUUCUAACAAGAACAUUAGACCGGAGAACAGGAGAACGUUCUAACGAGAACAUUAGACUGGAGUGCAGGAGAACAAGAACAUUAGAUUGGAGAACAUUCUAACAAGAACAUUCGACUGGAGAGCAGCAGAACAAGAACAUCAGACUGGAGAACAUUCUGACAAGAACAUUAAACUGGAGAGCGGCAGAACAAGAAUAUUAGACUGCAGAACAUUCUAACAACAUUAGACUGGAGAGCAGGAGAACAAGGACAUUAGACUGGAGAACAAGAACAUUAGACUGGAGAACGUUCUACAAGAACAUUAGACUGGAGAAUGUUCUAACAAGAACAUUAGACUGGAGUAUAGGAGAACACAGAACAUGUAAACAUGACGAGAACAUUCUAAAGUGAGAACAUAGUGACAUCACAUGAGGUCAUCGGUGUUCCUACCUGAAGGUCCAGCUGUGGUGACCUCAGAGGGAACCUCCUCACCUGCAGACUGAGUGACCACGCCCCCACCUGCAGUCACUGCAGAUACACAACACCUGAUGUGACCGUUGUGUUCUACUUUUGUGUUCUACUGUUGUGUUCCACUGUUGAAAAGCAUGUGACAGGCGUGUGACAGGCGUGUGAAAGGUGAGUGAAAGGAGUGUGGCAGGCGUGUGAAAGGAGUGUGGCAGGCGUGUGACAGGCAUGUGAAAGGCGUGUGGCAGGCGAGUGAAAGGCGAGUGGCAGGCGUGUGACAGGCAUGUGAAAGGCGUGUGGCAGGCGUGUGAAAGGUGAGUGAAAGGAGUGUGGCAGGCGUGUGAAAGGCAUGUGAAAGGCGUGUGGCAGGCGAGUGAAAGGCGUGUGGCGGUCCUUACCUGUGUCCCUCCCUUCAGGUGAGUCGCUGUGCUCCUUCACCAGGUGGCUCUCUGAGGGAAACACACAGCGGUCGUCGUUCCAUUGGUAGAGAUAAGCCCCACCCAGACCAGGAAGUGCGGUGGGCUGAUGGUACAUCACGACACACGCCUCGCCGCCGCAGGAUGGCUCAUCCAGGUACCAGUUCCUGCAUCGGCAUCAUCACCAUGGUUACCAGCAGCAUCUCAUUCACUGUGGCUAUGUCAGGGGAACCCGACGGUACCUGCUACAGUUGUGUUUCUGACAUCACACUCACCUGAAGGUAGCCACGCUGCCGUCGGUCCACUGGUACAGCUGUGGACAGGAAGUGAAGGAGUUGCCGGGUUCAGUUUGAUCCACGCGAGUCAGACCGAUCCAGAAAUCUCCGUCAGAGAUCCCUCCUCUGCCGCCCGAGGCUCCGCCCACCGCACCUGAACGCAGCUCCUGAUGAUGAGGAGGAGGAAGGUGAGGAGGGGAAGCAGAGGCAGCAGAAGACCAGGUGUGUGUCUCACCUGCAGCAGGUUUUCGAUGUCUCUCUGCUCUGUGGGACUCUGGAUGCUCAGCAGCGAUCCCCCGUCCAUCUCACAGGCCUGGACCGCCUCCCUGAAGGCCACGCGGCUCGACACGUCCUGGAAGUAUGCCAUCUUGUAGCAGGGACGCUGGGGACCGCCCACACACACCGUCUGACCUGCACACAGAGCCCCGCCCCUGUCACUGGACCCAUGAUGUCAUCACUGCAUCAUUUACCACACUUCAGUUACCUGGAACUAUAUGGCAGCAGCGGAACCACAGAUCAUAAACAGUUUAUUAUUUUAAAUAUUAAAUCAUAGAAAUAUUCCACUCAGUUCAACCGGAUGCUGAGAAACGCUUCAGAACCUGGUUCAGUUUAUUAGGAACACUUCAGUAGUUUACCUGUUGAUCUACGGUAACAAGAGUUAAAGUUAGCGGAACGAUGUUCUACAGAUGUUCAGGUUUACUUGAUCUUAACGACCUCAUUAAUCUCUGAUUAUUAUGUCAGUCUGAAGAUUUUAAGCAAGGCAGAGGAUUAAAAGGAACAGUUACAUAUUUAUACAUACACACACACACACACAGAUUCUUUUCAUUCAAAAAUGAUUUUAAAGUGAAAUGUGCAGCAAUAAUGACGACACAAAAUGCUAAUGCAGGAGUCAGUGACAGAACAUUACAGGUGUGUGUGUGUUUUAGUGUGUGUGUGUGUGUGUGUGUGUGUGUGUGUGUGUGUGUGGCUGCAGCAGUGAUUAAUACAGUGUUAAACAGCCUCAGGGCUACUUUAAGUGAUUAGCUGGAUUCUCUUCUGCACCAUCAUCAGUUUGCUGUUGAAGCUGCUGAGGAGCUCCGUUUAUCUCCGUCUGUCUCUGCUUCUGUGACCAACGUUCGGCUGCCAGCGUUGCUCUUAUUCAACAAGAAUCAGGAUUUUCAGGUUGAAAAAACAAGCCACUGAGGACAGAAAUGAAUUAAAAAUAUACUCAGUUUGGUGGAGGAUCACGGUUGAAACAUCUCCAUCUGCAAAUUAAAUAUCAACUAAUGCUGCAGCUGUACCUGGAGGUACCAUGGCAACCACUCACCAAGAACAACGUCCCCCAAACCUCAGAAUAACAUCCCAGAAACCUCAGAACAACAUCCCAGAAACCUCAGAGCAACAUCCCCAAAACCUCAGAACAACAUCCCAGAAACCUCAGAACAACAUCCCCAACCCUCAGAGCAACACCCAAUUGUGACAGUCUUGAAAAGACCUUCUAAUUACUCCUUGAAGGUGAAAUUCUAGAGUUUAUCCCAAACUAGAUUUGAAAUAAACUGACUUCAAACCGUCUAUUCUAUGAAACAUUUAAUGGAUUAAAGGAUUUAAAAAGCUAAAUAUAGAACAGGUCAUUUUAAGGUAACAGAAACAACUGAUGCUGUUUAAAGCUUGUGUUUGUUCUAGACAGAAUUCAGUGAUUAAAUGAUGCAAAGUAAUAUCUUAUUGAUCGGCUAGUGGAUUUAUCAGUGAAGGAUUAAAUAUUCAUCACAGGAAAACAUUUAAUCCACCUCAGGAAGGUGUUCAGUUUUAGAAGCCAUCUGUGAUCUGUUCAGAGGAUCCAAAUCCAGCAGGACUCUUAGGUCCAGGAUCAGGUCUAGUCCAGACCAGAGUACGGACUAAACAUGGAGAAGCAGCAUUUAGCUGUUCUGGAACAAACUGCCAGUGGAGAUUAAACUUUGACCAGAUGUAGACACUUUAACUCCAGGUUAAGACAUUUAUUUCUCAUUCAAUGCGUGAAGCUAUUGUUGAACUCUCUGCUCCUCUCUGUGAUGCUCUGAAUGUUUUCAGCACUUUGGACUGUCUGGAACAUGAAGGUUCUAUAGAUAAACUAGUCAUUCCUUAGAAGUUCCAGAAACUGACCAAGUGGUAAAAAGACUCACCGCUGACCACCCGAGCUGCUUCAUCUGGAACCAGCAUCACCAUGAGAACUGCCAGCAUCAGCAGCCUCCCCGGGUUCAACGGCAUCAUCCUCCGGAGGAAAUGUUCCAGGUUCUCUGCUCAGCUUCAUGCUGCUGUGUCUCUGUGAGCAGCAGGGAGUGCUUCUGCCUCCUCCCUCCUCAUCGAUCGGCCCCAGCUGCAGCCUCCUCAGGGGCCCCACACUUUAAUUUACUUAUGCAGACCGACAGCUGAUUGGCUCCUGCAGAGCAGCUGAUCAAUAGAUGAUAUCUGCUGCUGUGAACAACACUUCAUGCUUCCUCUGCAUCAAUCGUCUCCAUGAUUCACACACAACAAACUCCUCGUUGUGGAUGAGAAAUGCUGUGAAAUCAUCAGAAGUUUCCUUCAGUAUAUCAGUAAUACAUGAUGCUCGUCUGUUCAUCCACGAAACACUGCAGAGUUCUGCUGAGCUAGGCCAGCUGUUUUCCUCUGCCUGAAGUCUUUCUGCUAAGCUAGGCUAACAGUUCCCACCUGUUUCCAGUCUUUCUGCUAAGCUAGGCUAACAGCUCCCACCUGUUUCCAGUCUUUCUGCUAAGCUAGACUAACAAUUCUAACCUGUUUUGUCUUUCUGCUAACCUAGGCUAACAGUCUAACCUGUUUUGUCUUUCUACUAACCUAGGCUAACAGUUCUAACCUGUUUCCAGUCUUUAUGCUAAGCUAGGCUAACAGUUCUCACCUCUUUCCAGUCUUUAUGCCAAGCUAGGGUAGCUGUUUUCCUCUGUUUCCAGUCUUUGUGCUAAGCUAGGCUAACAGUUCCCACCUGUUUCCAGUCUUUAUGCUAAGCUAGGCUUACAGUUUCCACCUGUUUCCAGCCUUUGUGCUAAGCUAGGCUAACAGUUCCCACCUGUUUCCAGUCUUUAUGCUAAGCUAGGCUAACAGUUCCAACCUGUUUCCAGCCUUUGUGCUAAGCUAGGCUAACAGUUCCCACCUGUUUCCAGCCUUUGGGCUAAGCUAGGCUAACAGUUCCCACCUGUUUCCAGCCUUUGUGUGAAGGUAAGCUAACAGUUCCCACCUGUUUCCAGUCUUUGCAAAACUAGGCUAACAGUUCUAACCUGUUUCCAGUCUUUAUGCUAAGCUAGGCUAACAGUUCUAACCUGUUUUGUCUUUCUGCUAAGCUAGGCUAACAGUUCUAACCUGUUUCCAGUCUUUAUGCUAAGCUAGGCUAACAGUUCUAACCUCUUUCCAGUCUUUAUGCUAAGCUAGGGUAGCUGUUUUCCUCUGUUUCCAGUCUUUAUGCUAAGCUAAGCUAACAGUUCCCAUCUGUUUCCAGUCUUUCUGCUAACCUAGGCUAACAGUUUUAACCUGUUUUGUCUUUAUGCUAAGAUAGGCUAACAGUUCCACCUGUUUCCAGGCUUUGCUAAACUAGGGUAACAGUUCUAACCUGUUUCCAGUCUUUAUGCUAAGCUAUGCUAACAGUUCUCACCUCUUUCCAGUCUUUAUGCUAAGCUAGGGUAGCUGUUUUCCUCUGUUUCCAGUCUUUGUGCUAAGCUAGGCUAACAGUUCCCACCGGUUUCCAGCCUUUGGGCUAAGCUAGGCUAACAGUUCCCACCUGUUUCCAGUCUUUGUGCUUAGCUAGGCUAACAGUUCCACCUGUUUCCAGUCUUUGCUAAACUAGGCUAAAAGUUCUAACCUGUUUCCAGUCUUUAUGCUAAGCUAGGCUAACAGUUCUAACCUGUUUUGUCUUUCUGCUAAGCUAGGCUAACAGUUCUAACCUGUUUCCAGUCUUUAUGCUAAGCUAUGCUAACAGUUCUAACCUGUUUCCAGUCUUUAUGCUAAGCUAGGCUAACAGUUCCCACCUGUUUCCAGUCUUUAUGCUAAGCUAGGCUAACAGUUCCAACCUGUUUCCAGCCUUUGUGCUAAGCUAGGCUAACAGUUCCCACCUGUUUCCAGCCUUUGGGCUAAGCUAGGCUAACAGUUCCCACCUGUUUCCAGCCUUUGUGUGAAGGUAAGCUAACAGUUCCCACCUGUUUCCAGUCUUUGCAAAACUAGGCUAACAGUUCUAACCUGUGUCGUCUUUCUGCUAACCUAGGCUAACAGUUCUAACCUGUUUCGUCUUUCUGCUACACUGGGCUAACAGGUCUCACCUUUUUCCAAUCUUUAUACUAAGCUACGAUAGCUGUUUUCCUGUUUCCAGUCUUUAUGCUAAGCUAGGCUAACAGUUCUUAUCUGUUUCCCGUCUUUAUACUAAGCUAGGCUAAUUGUUCUAACCUGUUUUGUCUUUCUGCUAAGCUAGGCUAACAGUUCCCACCUGUUUCCAGUCUUUGAGCUAAGCUAGGCUAACAGUUCCCACCUGUUUCCAGCCUUUGUGCUAAGCUAAGCUAACAGUUCCCAUCUGUUUCCAGUCUUUCUGCUAACCUAAGCUAACAGUUUUAACCUGUUUUGUCUUUAUGCUAAGAUAGGCUAACAGUUCCACCUGUUUCCAGGCUUUGCUAAACUAGGGUAACAGUUCUCACCUCUUUCCAGUCUUUAUGCUAAGCUAGGGUAGCUGUUUUCCUCUGUUUCCAGUCUUUGUGCUAAGCUAGGCUAACAGUUCCCACCGGUUUCCAGCCUUUGGGCUAAGCUAGGCUAACAGUUCCCACCUGUUUCCAGUCUUUGUGCUUAGCUAGGCUAACAGUUCCACCUGUUUCCAGUCUUUGCUAAACUAGGCUAACAGUUCUAACCUGUUUCCAGUCUUUAUGCUAAGCUAGGCUAACAGUUCUAACCUGUUUUGUCUUUCUGCUAAGCUAGGCUAACAGUUCUAACCUGUUUCCAGUCUUUAUGCUAAGCUAGGCUAACAGUUCUAACCUCUUUCCAGUCUUUAUGCUAAGCUAGGGUAGCUGUUUUCCUCUGUUUCCAGUCUUUAUGCUAAGCUAAGCUAACAGUUCCCAUCUGUUUCCAGUCUUUCUGCUAACCUAGGCUAACAGUUUUAACCUGUUUUGUCUUUAUGCUAAGAUAGGCUAACAGUUCCACCUGUUUCCAGGCUUUGCUAAACUAGGGUAACAGUUCUAACCUGUUUCCAGUCUUUAUGCUAAGCUAUGCUAACAGUUCUCACCUCUUUCCAGUCUUUAUGCUAAGCUAGGGUAGCUGUUUUCCUCUGUUUCCAGUCUUUGUGCUAAGCUAGGCUAACAGUUCCCACCGGUUUCCAGCCUUUGGGCUAAGCUAGGCUAACAGUUCCCACCUGUUUCCAGUCUUUGUGCUUAGCUAGGCUAACAGUUCCACCUGUUUCCAGUCUUUGCUAAACUAGGCUAAAAGUUCUAACCUGUUUCCAGUCUUUAUGCUAAGCUAGGCUAACAGUUCUAACCUGUUUUGUCUUUCUGCUAAGCUAGGCUAACAGUUCUAACCUGUUUCCAGUCUUUAUGCUAAGCUAUGCUAACAGUUCUAACCUGUUUCCAGUCUUUAUGCUAAGCUAGGCUAACAGUUCUAACCUGUUUUGUCUUUCUACUAACCUAGGCUAACAGUUCUAACCUGUUUUGUCUUUCUACUAACCUAGGCUAACAGUUCCCACCUGUUUCCAGCCUUUGCUAAACGAGGCUAACAGUUCUAACCUGUUUCCAGCCUUUGUGCGAACCUAACAGUUCCCACCUGUUUCCAGUCUUUGCUAAACUAGACUAACAGUUCUAACCUGUUUCCAGUCUUUAUGCUAAGCUAGGCUAACAGUUCCCACCUGUUUCCAGUUUUUAUGCUAAGCUAGGGUAGCUGUUUUCCUCUGUUUCCAGUCUUUAUGCUAAGCUAGGCUAACAGUUCUAACCUGUUUUGUCUUUCUGCUAACCUAGGCUAACAGUUCCCACCUGUUUCCAGUCUUUGCUAAACUAGGCUAACAGUUCUAACCUGUUUCGUCUUUCUGCUAACCUAGGCUAACAGUUCCAACCUGUUUCGACUUUCUGCUGACAGUUCCCACCUGUUUCUAGUCUUUGCUAAACUACGCUAACAGUUCUAACCUGUUUCGUCUUUCUGCUAACCUAGGCUAACAGUUCUAACCUGUUUCCAGUCUUUAUGCUAAGCUAGGCUAACAGUUCCCACCUCUUUCCAGUCUUUAUGGUAAGCUAAGGUAUCUGUUUUCCUCUGUUUCCAGUCUUUAUGCUAAGCUAGGCUAAUAGUUCUAACCUGUUUUAUCUUUCUGCUAACCUAGGCUAACAGUUCUAACCUGUUUCGUCUUUCUGCUAACAGUUCCCACCUGAUUCCAGUCUUUCAGCUAAGCUAGGCUAACCGUUCCCAACUGUUUCCAGUCUUUGCUAUACUAGGCUAACAGUUCCCACCUGUUUCCAGCCUUUGUGUGAAGCUAAGCUAACAGUUCCCACCUAUUUCCAGUCUUUGCUAAACUAGGCUAACAGUUCUAACCAGUUUAACUUUCUGCUAACCUAGGCUAACAGUUCUAACCUCUUUCGUCUUUCUGCUAAGCUAGGCUAACAGUUCCCACCUGUUUCCAGCCUUUGUGUGAAGGUAAGCUAACAGUUCCCACCUGUUUCCAGUCUUUGCUAAACUAGGCUAACAGUUCUAACCUGUGUUGUCUUUCUGCUAACCUAGGCUAACAGUUCUAACCUGUUUCGUCUUUCUGCUACACUAGGCUAACAGUUCUCACCUUUUUCCAAUCUUUAUACUAAGCUACGAUAGCUGUUUUCCUGUUUCCAGUCUUUAUGCUAAGCUAGGCUAACAGUUCUAAUCUGUUUCGAGUCUUUAUGCUAAGUUAGGCUAACAGGUCUAACCUGUUUUGUCUUUCUGCUAAGCUAGGCUAACAGUUCCCACCUGUUUCCAGCCUUUGUGCUAAGCUAAGCUAACAGUUCCCAUCUGUUUCCAGUCUUUGUGCUAAGCUAGGCUAACAGUUCCACCUGUUUCCAGCUUUUGCUAAACUAGGCUAACAGUUCUAACCUGUUUCCAGACUUUCUGCUAACCUAGGCUAACAGUUCUAACCUAUUUCGUCUUUCUGCUAAGCUAGGCUAACAGUCCUAACCUGUUUCGUCUUUCUGCUAAGCUAGGCUAACAGUUCCUACCUGUUUCCAGUCUUUCUGCUAAGCUAGGCUAACCGUUCCCACCUGUUUCCAGUCUUUGCUAAACUAGGCUAACAGUUCUAACCUGUGUCGUCUUUCUGCUAACCUAGGCUAACAGUUCUAACCUGUUUCGUCUUUCUGCUAAGCUAGGCUAACAGUUCUCACCUCUUUCCAAUCUUUAUACUAAGCUAGGGUAGCUGUUCUCACCUCUUUCCAAUCUUUAUACUAAGCUAGGGUAGCUGUUUUCCUCUGUUUCCAGUCUUUAUGCUAAGCUAGGCUAACAGUUCUAACCUGUUUCAUCUUUCUGCUAAGCUAGGCUAAAAGUUCUAACCUGUUUCGUCUUUCUUCUAAGCUAGGCUAACAGUUCUAACCUGUGUCGUCUUUCUGCUAACCUAGGCUAACAGUUCUAACCUGUUUCGUCUUUCUGCUACACUAGGCUAACAGUUCUCACCUUUUUCCAAUCUUUAUACUAAGCUACGAUAGCUGUUUUCCUGUUUCCAGUCUUUAUGCUAAGCUAGGCUAACAGUUCUAACCUGUUUCGAGUCUUUAUGCUAAGUUAGGCUAACAGGUCUAACCUGUUUUGUCUUUCUGCUAAACUAGGCUAACAGUUCUAACCUGUUUCCAGACUUUCUGCUAACCUAGGCUAACAGUUCUAACCUAUUUCGUCUUUCUGCUAAGCUAGGCUAACAGUCCUAACCUGUUUCGUCUUUCUGCUAAGCUAGGCUAACAGUUCCUACCUGUUUCCAGUCUUUCUGCUAAGCUAGGCUAACCGUUCCCACCUGUUUCCAGUCUUUGCUAAACUAGGCUAACAGUUCUAACCUGUGUCGUCUUUCUGCUAACCUAGGCUAACAGUUCUAACCUGUUUCGUCUUUCUGCUAAGCUAGGCUAACAGUUCUCACCUCUUUCCAAUCUUUAUACUAAGCUAGGGUAGCUGUUCUCACCUCUUUCCAAUCUUUAUACUAAGCUAGGGUAGCUGUUUUCCUCUGUUUCCAGUCUUUAUGCUAAGCUAGGCUAACAGUUCUAACCUGUUUCAUUUUUCUGCUAAGCUAGGCUAAAAGUUCUAACCUGUUUCGUCUUUCUUCUAAGCUAGGCUAACAGUUCUAACCUGUUUCCAGUCUUUAUGCUAAGCUAGGCUAACUGUUCUAAUCUGUUUUGUCUUUCUGCUAAGCUAGGCUAUCAGUUCUAACCUGUUUCCAGUCUUUGUGCUAAGCUAGGCUAACAGUUCCCACCUGUUUCCAGCCUUUGUGCUAAGCUAACAGUUCCCACCUGUUUCCAGUCUUUGUGCUAAGCUAGGCUAACAGUUCCACCUGUUUCCAGCCUUUGCUAAACUAGGUUAACAGUUCUAACCUGUUUCCAGUCUUUAUGCUAAGCUAGGCUAACAGUUCCCACCUGUUUCCAGUCUUUGUGCUAAACUAGGCUAACAGUUCUAACCUGUUUCCAGUCUUUAUGCUAAGCUAGGCUAGCAGUUCUCACCUCUUUCUAGUCUUUAUGCUAAGCUAGUUUAGCUGUUUUCCUCUGUUUCCAGUCUUUAUGCUAAGCUAGGCUAACAGUUCUAACCUGUUUCGUCUUUCUGCUAAGCUAGGCUAACAGUUCUAACCUGUUUCCAGUCUUUGUGCUAAGCUAGGCUAACAGUUCUAACCUGUUUCCAGUCUUUCCUAAAGUAGGCUAACAGUUCUAACCUGUUUCCAGUCUUUAUGCUAAGUUAGGCCGUCAUAUAUUAAACAGUGUGGAUCUGUCCAUCUGGUCAUGUCUGUUCACUUUUUACAUGUGUGUGAAGCGCUGAAUGUCUUUGUUGCCAGACGGAGACGUAACAGAGGAACAGAGGAACUCUGAUGAAAACAGUUAAAGUGCUGCAGUGAGUUCCAGGAUCCCGUCAUUAGAUCAGUUUACUGACACAAUUAGACUCUGAAACUCAACCUGCCAGCUGAAAUAUGACACAUAAUUUAGUUUAACACCAUCACACUGUUGGAGGCAGGUGGAGGAUCAGAAGGACGGGUGGAGGUGGAGAUAGAGGUGGGGGUAAAUCUGAAGGUGGAGAUAGACGUGGGGGUAAAUAUAAAGGUAGGGGUGAAGUUGGAGUGUGUGUUCUACCCAAACAGUGCUCCUUGUUCUCUCUAACACAUAAUGACCCACUGGCUCUCCAUCAUUGCCAGUAUUGAUCACUUUAUUGAUCGACUGCAGGCGGCCGAUCGUCUCGUCGUCAUGCAGAAACACACUCCACUUACUGCUGAGUAUCACACACACACACACACACACACACACACACACACACACACACACACACACGCACACAGACACACACACGCACACACACACACACGCACACACACACACACACACACACACACACACACACACACACACACACACACACACACACACACACACACACACACACACACUGCUAACCCAGUAACCAGGCUGAUCGGAUCCAUUUUCCAGAUAAAACACUUUCAAAUGAGUCCAGAGGAACUGAGAGAUGACGGAAUAUUUCUGGAAGGAUUCAGAAAAAACUGCAUUUCUGCCUCCAGUCUGUUCCUUCAUGUUCUGGAAGUGGAACCUUGCAGUAAAGCUCCAGUAGAACCCUGUCUAGAUGUAGUACUAGAGGGUAAAUGUAGUAUUAGAGGGUAAAUGUCGUACUAAAUGGUAAAUGUAGUACUAGAGGGUAAAUGUAGUGUUAGAGGGUAAAUGUAGUACUAGAGGAUAACUGUAGUACUAGAGGGUAAAUGUAGCGUUAGAGGGUAAAUGUAGCGUUAGAGGGUAAAUGUAGUGUUAGAGAGUAAAUGUAGUAUUCGAGGGUAAAUGUAGUACUAGAGGGUAAAUGUAGUGUUAGAGGGUAAAUGUAGUACUGGAGGGUAAAUGUAGUAUUGUAGGGUAAAUGUAGUACUGGAGGGUAAAUGUAGCACUGGAGGGUAAAUGUUGUAUUAGAGGGUAAAUGUAGUACAAGAAGGUAAAUGUAGUGUCAGAGGGUAAAUGUAGUACUAGAGGAUAGAUGUAGUAUUAGAGGGUAAAUGUAGUACUGGAGGGUAAAUGUAGUACAACAGGGUAAAUGUAGUACUAGAGGGUAAAUGUAGUGUUAGAGGGUAAAUAUUAGAGGGCAAACGUAGACCAGCUGUAGUUCCUGGUUGUUCUGAGAAACAAAGACAUAGAUUCUUGAGACUGGAUCAGAAUGUCUCUACUUUGUCCUCUGAUUCUUGUGUUUGCUGCAGAGUUAGAGAACAGGGAAGACGCUGGUUCCUGCUGCUGGUUCGUGGAGCUGCGCUGGAAGAAAACUUGUCUUUGACUGGAGACGUGAGAAACCUGGAAGGAUCCCUGUAGACCUCAGACCCCAGGAGUCCAGCAGAACCAAAGCCAUGGUCAGAAAAUAAGGAGCAGGUUCCUGGAGGUUCUGCAGCCAGAAGGACGGAGCCAACAAAUGAAGACUAAAACAGGUUUUAGAACACAGAACAAAGUUAAUCUGACAUAUGUUCCUGUUGUUGCUGACAAUGGCUGUCAAACUAGAACUAUCUGAGUCCACGAAGACCCUUCUUUUUUAAAAAAAACAUUCUUUAUGGAACUAAAAAUGGUUCCUUUAUGGCUUCACUGCAAAGAAUCAUCUUUGAUUUUAACACCUACGUUUUUCUGAGUCAGGAUGGUUAAAAAGAACAUAAAGAACUCUUUGGAAAGUAGUUCCUUUAAGAAUUUUUUGUUGACAGAAGCUCUUUGGAGCACUUUUUGAUGAUUCUUGAAGCACCUUGAGGGUUCUUUAAGGGACCAUUGGAAGAAAUGGUUCUUAAAGAGAUCUAAGAUUUGUGGUUUCACGGAGCUAAGCAGGGAUGUCGGGACACAGAAUAUCUGAAAGACUCUUUAAGAGGGAAACAACAGCUGCUGGAAAAUUUUAUAUUAAAACAUUUUUCUAAACUAUCUUUUUGAUGGAGAACAAGAACACAAACAGCAGCGACCUGUCCAUCAAAGCGCUGCAGAUCAAUAACGUUUUUCUCUAUGUGUAAAUGUGGAUCUAUGAGUCCGAUCCGAUCCGAACAUCCAAUCAGCCGGCAGCUGCUCAGACUGCAUGAUGACACAUUAACCUGCUGUGUGUUUGUCUGUCCCUGUGAGGACCAAUGGCGUGUUUAAAUGAGCAGUAUAUCUGAAGACACAAACACAAACGGUCUGAAAAACAAGAACAUCAUGUCAGGGCGCCACAGAACAUGUUCUCAUAAAAUAUCCCUGCAGCUGCUGUGUUCAGAGAUCUGAGUGUCUGAAGGACAACGCCGUGGUCAGAGUUUGAACUUAUUUUGAUUGUUUCAGAUCAUUGACCAGGUAUUUGUUCUGAGGGGCGUCAUAUCAGCAGUUGUUUCCCUCCAGUUAAGAACACAUAUAAAAUGGAGGCUCAGAGUUUCCAAAGACUCCUACAACUCUGAAUAUUCUAUGAUGGAAUCAUUGAAAUCAUGAAUCUUUGUCAUAAAAACAAUCAUGUAUUGGUUCUUUCAUAGAUUUAUUAUUGGUCUUCUGGAAAUAUAACCAAAUCUGCUGGAUUAUAAAUAUACAAGCAGAAAUGUUAAUAUUUGGUUAAAUUAGUCAUUUUCACCUCACUUCGGUUCUUUUGGUUUUCAUUCACAAUAUUCUGGUUAUCUUUGACUCCUCUGAACAGAAUUGGUUCAGUUCCACUAAAUUUGUCGUCUUUCUGACUCAGACUUGUUUCUUCAUCAGUCCUUAGGUUCUAGAUGGGUUUAAGUCAGGACUUUGGGGAGACCAGUCUAGAACCUUCAUUCCAGCCUGAUGGAACCAUUUCUUUACCACAUCUGAUGUGUUAGGAUAACGUUAUUUUUUAUACCGACAAAUCAAAGAUAAGAUGGUUUUACCUUAGCUGACAUGUUUCAACUGCAACUGCAGUCUUCUUCAGAGCGUCAUCUGACGUGUGCUGACGUGUCCUUUUUUUAUCAGGUGGCUGGUCUGACAGAUCUGUCACACCCCCAUGAGCUGCUCCAUGAACCGGGACGAGGGGGACUACACCCUCUAAUACCUGGGACUCCAUCCUCCAGAGACCACCGGACGGCGGGGGGCGUGGCCUAUCUGACAGAUUCUGACAGAUCUGUCAGACUGGUCACAUGAUAAAAAGGACACGUCAGCACACGUCAGAUGACGCUCUGAAGAAGACUACAGUUGCUGCUGAAACAUGUCAGCUAAGGUAAAACCAUCUUUGAUUUGUCGGUGUAAAAAAUAACGUUAUCCUAUGAUAGUUAACGACAAAAUGAACAUCAUCCAAAUAAAUACGUCUGAUGUGUG